rnacentral:rRNA from 1 species
GCCUACGGGGGGCAGCAGUCGAGAAUCAUUCACAAUGGGGGAAACCCUGAUGGUGCGACGCCGCGUGGGGGAAUGAAGGUCUUCGGAUUGUAAACCCCUGUCAUGUGGGAGCAAAUUAAAAAGAUAGUACCACAAGAGGAAGAGACGGCUAACUCUGUGCCAGCAGCCGCGGUAAUACAGAGGUCUCAAGCGUUGUUCGGAAUCACUGGGCGUAAAGCGUGCGUAGGCUGUUUCGUAAGUCGUGUGUGAAAGGUGCGGGCUCAACCCGCGGACGGCACAUGAUACUGCGAGACUAGAGUAAUGGA